CUGCAUGGAGCCCCGCCCAGUAGGAGGUGGAGACUCAGAGGGUCUGAGCUCUUCCCUCGCUGGGUCUCUGUUGCCCGGGGGCCAGUCCACUUGGGCUCGUCUACCCAAGUUGGGGGUGUCUCUGGGGUUUGAAUUAGAGUCAGUCAUUCCUGCACUUGAUCUUCCCUUUGUUCAGUAAUUUUAGAGCCUGAGCCACGCCCAGUUUUGGGUGCUACCCCACUGUUUUCCAGAGAGGAGGGCGCCGCCAUCCCCAGGGCUCCGCAGGAGAGCUGGGACAUGGCUGCCUGGUCGGAACCCACAGACCCUGAGGCUCGGAUGCUUAAGAAGAAAUGCAAGGCCUGAAGAGUCAAAUAAACUGAUGCGGACCGUGCAUUUACCUCGGAGGAUGGCUUACUCGGUUCUGCCUGUGCUCCUACCAAAGUGCAAGGUGACUACAGGGAUGCGUUCCCUCCAUCAGUGGCCUGUGACUCUGCUGUCGGCCCACGACCUUCUGUCCUGCGCAGCAGAGCCCGCUGCAGAGUCCCCCAAGAAAUAAGGUAUUAACACUUAUCGUGUGGAGCUGAAUUCUUCAAGGAAUAGUAAUCCUUAAACAGACGGAGGAGAAGUCGUCUUCAAAGCAUUAAAAUCCAGCGGUGUGCUCCCAGCCCAUCCUUCUUCACCAGCCACGCGCCGUCUGGACGGAUUUGGGUCGGAAGAAUCCUGACGAAAUGUCUCCUCGAAAGAUGCCAUCUCCUGUGGGGCACUGGUCUAGCCCAGAGCUUCUGUCAAAGGCCAUCCAAACAAGAAUCGGAGGCCGCUCCUUUCUGUCUCUAAGCCUCCCCCAUUGUCUUGCUGCUUCCAGAAUAACAGAUCCCGUCACUGGUGCCA